CCUACGGGUGGCAGCAGUGGGGAAUAUUGCGCAAUGGGCGAAAGCCUGACGCAGCGACGCCGCGUGAGGGAUGAAGGUCUUCGGAUCGUACACCUCUGUCAGCAGGGACGAACGGUCACUGUGCUAAUCAGCAGUGAAUUGACGGUACCUGCAAAGGAAGCACCGGCUAACUCCGUGCCAGCAGCCGCGGUAAUACGGAGGGUGCGAGCGUUAAUCGGAAUUACUGGGCGUAAAGCGCUCGUAGGCGGUAUGUCAAGGCAAGGGUGAAAUCCCCGCGCUCAACGUGGGAACUGACUGUGAACCUGGCAAACUGGAGUGUGUGAGAGGAUAGUGGAAUUCCAGGUGGAGGAGUGAAAGCCGUAGAUAUCUGGAGGAACAUCAGUGGCGAAGGCGACUAUCUGGCACAUAACUGACGCUGAGGAGCGAAAGCGUGGGUAGCAAACAGGAUUAGAUACCCCAGUAGUC
rnacentral:rRNA from 1 species